rnacentral:rRNA from 1 species
GACGAACGCUGGCGGCGUGCUUAACACAUGCAAGUCGAACGGAAAGGCCCUGCUUUUGUGGGGUGCCCGAGUGGCGAACGGGUGAGUAACACGUGAGUAACCUGCCCUUGACUUUGGGAUAACUUCAGGAAACGGGGGCUAAUACCGGAUAGGAGCUCCUGCUGCAGGGUGGGGGUUGGAAAGUUUCGGCGGUUGGGGAUGGACUAGCGGCUUAUCAGCUUGUUGGUGGGGUAGUGGCUUACCAAGGCUUUGACGGGUAGCCGGCCUGAGAGGGUGACCGGCCACAUUGGGACUGAGGUACGGCCCAGACUCCUACGGGAGGCAGCAGUGGGGAAUAUUGCACAAUGGGCGGAAGCCUGAUGCAGCAACGCCGCGUGCGGGAUGACGGCCUUCGGGUUGUAAACCGCUUUCGCCUGUGACGAAGCGUGAGUGGCGGUAAUGGGUAAAGAAGCACCGGCUAACUACGUG